rnacentral:rRNA from 1 species
GACGAACGCUGGCGGCGUGCUUAACACAUGCAAGUCGAACGGAAAGGCCCUGCUUGCAGGGUACUCGAGUGGCGAACGGGUGAGUAACACGUGGGUGAUCUGCCCUGCACUUCGGGAUAAGCCUGGGAAACUGGGUCUAAUACCGGAUAGGAGCCAUUUUUAGUGUGAUGGUUGGAAAGUUUUUUCGGUGUAGGAUGAGCUCGCGGCCUAUCAGCUUGUUGGUGGGGUAAUGGCCUACCAGGGCGGCGACGGGUAGCCGGCCUGAGAGGGUGGACGGCCACAUUGGGACUGAGAUACGGCCCAGACGCCUACGGGAGGCAGCAGUGGGGAAUAUUGCACAAUGGGCGCAAGCCUGAUGCAGCGACGCCGCGUGGGGGAUGACGGCCUUCGGGUUGUAAACUCCUUUCGCUAGGGACGAAGCUUUUUGUGACGGUACCUAGAUAAGAAGCACCGGCUAACUACGUG